rnacentral:rRNA from 1 species
UAGGGAAUAUUGCAAAAUGGGCGAAAGCCCGAUGCAGCAACGCCGCGUGGGCGAUGAAGGCCUUCGGGUCGUAAAGCCCUUUUUGAGGGGAUGAGGAAGGACAGUACCCUCAGAAUAAGCCUCGGCUAACUACGUGCCAGCAGCCGCGGUAAAACGUAGGAGGCGAGCGUUAUCCGGAUUUACUGGGCGUAAAGCGCGUGCAGGCGGAUUGGAGAGUUGGAUGUGAAAGCUCCCGGCUUAACUGGGAGAGGCCGUUCAAUACUUCCAGUCUUGAGUGCAGUAGAGGGAAGUGGAAUUCCGGGUGUAGUGGUGAAAUGCGUAGAUAUCCGGAGGAACACCAGUGGCGAAAGCGGCUUCCUGGACUGUAACUGACGCUCAGACGCGAAAGCUAGGGUAGCAAACG